UAUUUUUAAAUACUGUCACAGUGUUUUUAUCAAAGACAUAUUACGCCAGAAAUUCUUUUGCAAAGAUCUUCUAAACUUAGAAUAUAACCGGGAAAUUAUAAUAGCAGUACUGACCUUGCUCUUAAUGUUGCUGGCGAUGCGAUUAUCUGGGUAUUCAUUUGAAAAAACCGACACGCUGUCGAGAGAUGUGUUGAUCGGUUUUUCAAUUUUUGUUGCAUGUCUUAUGGUGGUCUUGUGUUGCAUAUGGUUGAAUGCAAGGCUUAAGGAGAUUAAAGAAAGAAUAUCAGCCAGCAGAGGGAGGACAAGUACAACGAGUGGAACGCCAUUUCAGUUGUCUAAAACGUAUACGUGGAAAAGUUGUACUUUUGAAGCAUGUGCAGUUCAUGCUGCAAAGUUUAAGAAAGGUCAUCGAUACGACACGUGCCCUAUAUGCCUAGAGGAAUUUGUUAAUAAAGAAAAGUUAUGGAUUUUACUUUGUGAACAUGAGUUCCAUGUUGAUUGUGUAAAACCAUGGUUAAAAAAGAGAAAACAGAAUUGUCCCAUGUGCAAAAGAAUGGUUAUUAUUAUGCCUGAUUAAACAUGUCAAUUACCUGCUGUUAAUCUAAAAACAACAAUUUCAUUUAUAUAUCCGCUGUAUGAUAUAUGUGAUAGAUUUAUAUUAUCAAUAUAGUUUAAAACAUAGAAAGCAAUAUGACAAGAAGAUGUUAGGCUUCAAAACUGCAUAUUGAUCUGAGUUGUAAUUAAAUUAGAUACGAAAUAAUAUUUACACUUAAGCUUUGAAAUUAAAUGUCCCACAAUAGCUAAUUGCAAAUAUGCCCCAUUAAGGUGCAUCAAUACAAAAAGUUUUAAUCUCAAAAUAAGGUGUUUCUGUUAAACCCUAUUUUUUAAAUCAAAAAGCUAACUAUACAAGUUCAUGUUUUUAUUGUAAAAUUAAAAACAGUCUACGUAAUUCCGAACUAAUAGCUCUAGAAAGGUAAGGGUUUAAGUUAUACAUUACAGCUUAAAAUGUACAUAAUAAGAUAUGUUUAUUUUUACAACAAUUUGGUAUAAAAUGAAGCAAACCUUUCUAAGAACCUCAUCAAACAAAAAUAUGGAAUGUUUUUCACCAAUGUCUAGUUUGUCUGUGGCUCAUUCACCAAUCAACUCUAACAAAAAAACAAAAAAAAACAAAUGCGCAGCAUGAGGUUUAAGUGUUUUUUACAAUGCGUUAAGUCUAAGAAAUGCCCAAGAAACCGUUUUUCUAGCUGAACUAGGGAUUCACUGCCAAAAGACAGAUGGAACGUGAAUAAAGUGAAUUUUCAACAAUGUUAACAAUUUGAGCUCAAAGUCGCAGUUGGACUCUUUCCGGAAUACAUUUCAGCUAAGGGGUAGACAGGAGUUUCGAUACCCAGCUUAGUAAAAAUAAACGCAGUUCUAACAGAGAAGUUAUAAGUUGUUUUAUUGACCAAUAUUGUAACAUCUCCUUCAUCUGUGCCUAAAAUUUACCCAAUAGUACAAUGAUUUUUAUUUUUACUUUGUUACGACAUCUAAUCAUAUUGCAAUUGGUAAGUUAGCAAAAAAUGUCCAAAUGAUGAUUUGCUCCCUAGUGUAGAGAAAGAGAGAGCAGAUACCAAGGGUGCAUUUGAAAGUCCAAUGAAAACAGAUGAAGCCGUGGUCAAACAUUAUAACGACAAAAAGGACACACAACAAUAACUAAACACAACAAAGAAAACUUAAGACUGUGCAACACUAAUAGUUUUUUUGCGGAGGUUUUUACUUAUUCAAAUUGUAGGUAUGUCGAACGCUAGGCCACAAUUAAUGACAUAAUAUGAACAUUUAACAAGAAGGUAACUGCCACUGAAAUCAUUCCGAAUUUCCAUUUUCUUUAUUUGAAUGAGACGUGGUUUGAACGAUCAACCAUUAAAAUAUAUUAUGUUGCAUAACAAAUCAUGCACGAGUUUGAUUACUUUAUGUUAAUUAUAACAUUAUUCAUUAGAAUGAUUUAUUUUUUCUGAAUUAUAAUAUAUAUUCUUUUUUGAGCCUUUGGAUUAAAUCUUGUAUUUUUCUUCAUGAACACUGAACACUUUUAUUAUAUUUAUGUGUAGUUGUCGUUUGUCAUUUUACUUAAACAUAGUGUUCUGUGGAGAUGUGUCCCUUUAUCAUUCAGUAAAAUAAAGAUCGAUACAUUGUU